rnacentral:rRNA from 1 species
AUUGAACGCUGGCGGCAGGCCUAACACAUGCAAGUCGAGCGGCAGCGGGAAAGUAGCUUGCUACUUUUGCCGGCGAGCGGCGGACGGGUGAGUAAUGCCUGGGAAAUUGCCCAGUCGAGGGGGAUAACAGUUGGAAACGACUGCUAAUACCGCAUACGCCCUACGGGGGAAAGCAGGGGACCUUCGGGCCUUGCGCGAUUGGAUAUGCCUAGGUGGGAUUAGCUAGUUGGUGAGGUAAUGGCUCACCAAGGCGACGAUCCCUAGCUGGUCUGAGAGGAUGAUCAGCCACACUGGAACUGAGACACGGUCCAGACUCCUACGGGAGGCAGCAGUGGGGAAUAUUGCACAAUGGGGGAAACCCUGAUGCAGCCAUGCCGCGUGUGUGAAGAAGGCCUUCGGGUUGUAAAGCACUUUCAGCGAGGAGGAAAGGUUGAUGCCUAAUACGUAUCAACUGUGACGUUACUCGCAGAAGAAGCACCGGCUAACUCCGUGCCAGCAGCCGCCGUAAAAC